ACUCAAAGGAAUUGACGGGGGCCCGCACAAGCAGUGGAGCAUGUGGUUUAAUUCGAUGCAACGCGAAGAACCUUACCUGGGCUCGAAAUGUAGAGGAAUAUGACAGAGAUGGCAUAGCCCGCAAGGGCCUCUAUAUAGGUGCUGCAUGGCUGUCGUCAGCUCGUGCCGUGAGGUGUUUGGUUAAGUCCAGCAACGAGCGCAACCCUUAUCGUUAGUUGCCAGCGCGUAAUGGCGGGAACUCUAACGAGACUGCCUGGGUUAACCAGGAGGAAGGUGAGGAUGACGUCAAGUCCGCAUGGCCUUUAUGUCCAGGGCUACACACGUGCUACAAUGGUCGGUACAGAAGGCAGCGAAACCGUAAGGCGGAGCAAAUCCUGAAAAACCGAUCUCAGUUCAGAUUGUAGUCUGCAACUCGACUACAUGAAGUUGGAAUUGCUAGUAAUGGCGUGUCAGCAACAACGCCGUGAAUACGUUCCCGGGCCUUGCACACACCGCCCGU
rnacentral:rRNA from 1 species